GGUCUGUUAGCUCAGUUGGCAGAGCACUGUGUUCACAUCGCAGGGGUCACUGGUUCGAGCCCAGUACAGACCA
rnacentral:tRNA from 1 species